CGGUAAUAACAAACAGUGUUUUCAAGAUUUGCCCAGUUUAUAAUAAUACGAACGAAACGUGGAACAAACUGAAAGAGGAUUUCGAAUGGAGAAUGACCUAUGUUGGGGAGCCAAAUUGAGCCGUCAAAUUCUCAAACUCCGAUAGCUUCAUUUCCAGGCCCCAACAUCGAAGGGAAAAUUUCCUUUCCCCCACAUAAGACACAAACUCCGCUACCGUCGGCAAAAACAAAAAGUACACUUCCACUCAAAUUUCGACGACAAUCCAAAUGCGUAAACACUCAAAGUGCAAUCACAUAUGCUACCGACAUUCCUUCACAAACAAACAUAUCACAUCCGUGUAAUUCCAUUUCACAUUAAUUACAAUUCACAUGUAAAAACUCAAUUUAUAUUUACAUAUCACAACGUUUAGAUUUUACAUUAUAUUUACAGUUACAGGUAUUUCACCUCACAAAUUACAUCUAUUAAAUUAAAUGUCACCACUGGCGGACCAUCUCGGACUACUUUCGCUCCGCUAUUUACAAUUUUUGUUGUGCGUUGUUGUUGAUGUUGAUCCUACUCUGUGUCAUAUUUCACGAUCGCCAAUCUACGACGAAGUGAUGAAUAAUUCACCAACGUGACCGCUUCGUUCGUGAUGAGAUCCCAGAAGGAGAAAACGGCAAAUCACAUUGUUUUUUCCGUUUUCCUAUCGCACAUUUUAUUGUUCUCCAGCAGGCAGCCGUCUCGAUUAUGUAAUCGUGUGUACCAGGCCUGUAUUUGGGGAGCUCUUACUACUCAUAAACAAUUUAUGUAGGAUCAGCCGAAUCGGAAGAGUACAAUCAGGUUCUUGACACGAUCUAUGUUGGUCCGGUACCAGUGGGGAGACACAUUAUUUCAAGCAGACAUACAUUCCCAAUGUGACACGUAUUCCGGAGCUAGACGCAGUGACUCUUCACACUUGUUCAUAUUGUGGUCAAGGAUUCGCGCGAGCAGGUUACGUUAUAAAUAAUUAAUACUCAGAAAUAGAGAGAGAAUGGAAUGACCACUGAGUACAAUCCGGGUGAUGCUUGAAUUGAUGUUGCUUUAAACAUUGCCGGAAUCAUAACGGAACAGUAGAGAACAAUACAACAUUACUGUGAGAAUUUAGCAGAAAUUCGAACUCGUGACCGACGGAAUAUUGGACAUGAAUAUGUUUACUAGAAUGAUCCAUUUUUUCAAUUGUUUUAGAUUGAUGCGGAACCUAAAUAAAGUCUACU